rnacentral:rRNA from 1 species
GUGCCCCCACCCGCGGUAAUACGGAGGGUGCAAGCGUUAAUCGGAAUUACUGGGCGUAAAGCGCACGCAGGCGGUUUGUCAAGUCGGAUGUGAAAUCCCCGGGCUCAACCUGGGAACUGCAUUCGAAACUGGCAAGCUAGAGUCUUGUAGAGGGGGGUAGAAUUCCAGGUGUAGCGGUGAAAUGCGUAGAGAUCUGGAGGAAUACCGGUGGCGAAGGCGGCCCCCUGGACAAAGACUGACGCUCAGGUGCGAAAGCGUGGGGAGCAAACAGGAUUAGAUACCCUGGUAGUCC